GAAAGACAAAUACCAUAGUAUUUCACUCAUAUGUGGAAUUUAAGAAAGAAAAAAAGACCGAAAAAAAAUCACUGUUUGGACACAGGAACCAUUUAAAAUUUUAUUUCCAUUGGAGGUAAAGACAGCCCAUUGUCCCCAUAAUAUUCCAAAGUCAUGGGCAGCCUGGGUGGCUCAGCGGUUUAGCACCGCCUUCGGCCCAGGGUGUAAUCAUGGAGACCUGGAAUCGAGUCCCAUAUUGGGCUCCCUGCAUGGAUCCUGCUUCUCCCUCUGCCUGUGUCUCUGCCUCUCUCUCUCUCUCUGUGACUAUCAUAAAUAAAUAAAAAUUAAAAAAAUAUAUAUAUAUAUUCCAAAGUCAUGAGCUACCCUAAAAACAUACCAACGAACAGUAUAAAUGUUUGCAAUUUUACCCUUGGCUAAGGUAUGAACUCAGGUAAGGAUAUAUGGCUCAGCCUAUUGGGCUGAAGUAUCCAAAAUGUAAGGUUGCUGUUUCAGUGAAUUCAAAAGGAGUUGCAAUAGGAUCCUCAGUAUGAUAUUUACCAUUUUCAUCCUUUAGAUAAGAAACAUCAGUAAACUAUGAAACACCUGCACAGAUUAGAGGAGUUUCCUGUAAAUUGUAACAAGGAUUCAAAGGUAAUCUGUCAACACUAAGCAGUCAUGAGGGGUUUCAUCUGGAUUCAAAUGUAGUCCUUAUUCUGAGAUCAGGUGCUUCGAGUGUCAAACCUGAGUUUGAGCAAACUGUUUUUCUUUGGACACUUUAUGUCCCUUUCAGGCCAAAAGUUUCAAUAGGUGGAUGCUUUUUUCCUAUGAAGAGGUUUGAGAAGGGGAGUAGAGAAGCAAAUCAUCUAUGUAUUAUAACAAGGUAGAGCCUGCAAAAAACUUUAUAUCAUCCAAAUCAGCUUUUAAGAUUCAUGAAAAGUAAAAAGGACUCUUUGUGAAACCCUGGGACUUUACUGUUCAGGUAUAUUUCCAUUCUUCUCCAAUGAAAGCAAAACAUGGGCUAUCCUCAUUAACUGGAAUGCUAAAAACAUAUUGUAUAAAUCAAUUACAGUGAAAAUUUUGCUUUCAGUGAGAAUGGAUGUUAAUGGCUAUGGGAGUUAGAUUAGCAGAAUGCCAAGAAACAACAAUGUUAUUUAUUGCUCAUAGAUCCUGGACAAACCUUCAUCCUUAGUUAUUGGGUGUUCUCAUAGGUAAAAUAGGGGUAUUGCAGGCACUAGUUCAGGGGAUAAUGAAGCCCCAAGUACUGUAAUAUUCUAUUAUGGACUUGAGGUCUCCUUGAGAGGCUUACGUAUUAGGUAUUAAUUAUGGGAGAGGUUUUAAUGGAUCUAUUUGAAUCUUGAUGGGAGGUGCACUGUGGAUUUUGCCAAUAUCGGUUAAAGCUUUUGCCCAUAAAAAGGACGGUAGCUCAGCCAAUAGAAAUAAAUAAAAGAUGUUGAAGGGUCAUUUAACUUCCCUGGUUGGGUAUUUUUAUUACUGUUGUCAAACUGUAAAAUUAUUUCUCCCUUUUGAGAAAAAUCUUGGCAUGGUACUUUUCUAAGAAAUCUCAGCCCAAUAACUAAGGAGAAAAAGGGUAUGUCCCAAAGGGCCUAGACAAAAGGGAAAAGAUUCAGAAACAGGAUCUUGUUGAGGUUUCUUAGAGACCCCCCACUAUUUGAACUGUUUUAGUUUCCUAAGGCAGGGGCUGCUCUGUAGCAGUGGGGUUAAGCACUGAGAGAGUAGCUCUGGUAUCAAUAAAGACACAUUUUUCAUUUCCAGUCUGGUUUCUCUGCAGCCAGUUAAGAAGGAGGAUUGAGAACAGCCCCUAUAAUUCCCUGGAGCUCUGUUACUGGGAAUUAAGAGGACAUUGGGAAGGCCAACUAGAAAGCUGAAGGCAAUGUUUUGGUUAUUUCCUGGGGUGUUUACGUUUUAAAGACGGACAAGACUUAUAAAUUCAAAGGACAGAGAAAGAAACUAAAUUUUCUCCUAAGAGUUUUAAGGGUCAUCUUUUAACUUGGACCUAAGCUGCCACCUCCAGCCAAGCAUCAGUGACCAACCAAACCGCCUGCAGGAGAGGCCAGCUGCAGUGACUACCGGCUUCCUUUCCCUGCCACUGCGCGCACACCCAGUCCUUGAUUCUUGUUACAGCAGCCCGAGAGGACUAAGGCACCAGUCGAUGCUGAUGCAGCUGAUCUCAGGACCACACUCUGAGAAGCACUGUAACAGAGCUUAGCAUGGAAUUUGUCCCAGUAGGUACUUUUAAUUUUUUUUUAAGAUUUUAUUUAUUUGAGAAAGAGAGAGCAUGCAUGAGAGAACAUGACAAGGGGUGGGAGGAAGAGGCAGAGGGAGAAGGAGAAGCAGACUCCCCACUGAUGAGGGAGCUAGACGUGGGACUUAAUUCCAGGACCCCAAGAUCAUGAUCUGAGGAGGAAGGCAGCCACUUAAUAACAGCCACCCAGGUGCCCUCUCAGUACAUACUUUUAAUUGGAACAUGAAUACUUAGGUGGUUUUCCAUUUAAAACCGGAUUUGUUUUCCAAGAAUUAAUUAUAGCUUGGUGGGAUGACACCUUCGGUUUAAAACUACACUUAGUUUCAGUGUACUGAAUUUCCAUGUACUGAAAUCAUUUUUGAGGCUAGCUGGAAUAAACAUCGUAAUGUAGGUGUCAGCCUGGAGCAGAUUGGUUACAAAUAGAAUGUAAAAAUAGCAGUGGGCUGUGUAGGCAGGGAGGUAAUACCCCUUUGCUCACCUAAUUCUCACAACAGACAGAGUCAACCAUUGUCAUCUCUAGUUUACAGACAAAGGGACACCAGAAAUUAAAUAACAGUUUUAUACAGAUAGUUAAGGCACCAAGCUAGGAUUUAAACUUAGGCAGUGUAGCUCCAAAGGCCACAAUCUUAAAUAUGCUAUUCACUCUCCAGCCCAUAGCUGAGGAGAGCAAGGCUCAGGCCAGUCACAUGCCUGGGAGCCCCAUCCCUCACCGCCCCUGAGCGAGAAUCAUCAAUUCAGAUGGAGGAACACAGCAUCCCAGGGCCAUUUUCAGCAACCACAGCAAUAUUAUUUUGGUAGGCGGUGAUUUAAGUUAGAUAACAAGACUGAAGUCUACUUUUCAGCGACGGAGAAAACAGUCACCAUUAGGGUGACACAGCCCAAGACUCCACCAUAAGCGUGUGCAGCAUAGGCCAGGAUGGCUUCCAGAGUCUCCAGGGGCCAUCCUUACCAUACUUUGAACAGAACCUUUCAGAGUCCCACUUAACACCGAUUGUCUGCCCCUUCUAUACUCGAGAGUGUUCAGCCUUUACUGGGGUCUUCCUGUGUGACAAGGCCCCCGCCUGCCCCACUGAGGAAGCAGCCCAGCCUACUUCAGGGAAAGUAAUAAUUACAAAAAGCUUCUUAACCUUUGAGCUGAAAAUUGUCUACUGUUACCCUAAUUGGCCCUGAUUUUUCUUUGGGGAGACCUCCAGAACAACUGUGAUAGCUUUUCUGCAAGGUCCUCUUCAAGUUUUGAAGAUGAACAACCAAUAUUCCCUCCUCUUCUGCUUCCCAAAUCUUUCUGUUUCUGGACUAAAUAAAUCAAAUUCCUUCAAUUGUUCCUCAUAUAACUUGGUUUCUGUACUUUUUACCAUCCCACCUGUAACCCUUUCUGAUGAGCUUUAAGAUGUGGUGCACAGCUAAUGUGUACAUUCCAGGUCAGGCAUGAUCUGGCCAAUGCAGCAUAUGGCAAAAUCAUUACCUCCUAUGAGCUGACAUGCCUUAGUGCUUUCUGGGCAGUGCUCUACCUCUUGGCUCAUACUAAAUUCGUGACCAGCUAAAAAUCCUUGCUUAUGUCUGUUUGACAGAAAGUAUUUCUCAACCAGGUAUCUUUCAUCUUUUACCCAUGCAGUCAAUUGUUUGUUUAAUGAAAAAAGGACUACAUUCAUCUAUUGAAAUCCUAUCUUACUGGAGCCAGUCCAUCUUGCAUGCAGAGAUGCAGAGACUCGUGUACCCCAAUUAGAGAAGCUUAGGAAAAAAGCUGACAACCCUUUAGCCUAACAUGUUAAAAUGGCUUCUGUCUGCAAGCAUGAACAGCACUGAAAAGGUGUCCAACUACCUGCUGCCAAAUAGCAGGGACCACCAGGGACAGACGUGUUCCUGGAUCUGCUGCUGCUGUGGGAGCUGUAGUUAGGGCCACUUUGCCACUCUUUGCUUUUCACGUCUCUGGUUUUUUAAUCCAAAGGCAGCCAGAAUAAACUUCGAGAAAACACUAGGAUGCAAAAUCUUUUUGUAGAAUUUACAGAAAUGCCUCUGACAGUCUGAAAAUGUUUCUUUGAUGGUUUAUGUGUACCUCAGGGGGCUGUUUUUAAAGCUUUGAGAAUGCAGCAUCUUAUUUUGAAUGAAGACCAAUUCCUCAGAAAUAAUUGGGCUUUUAUCUGAUAUAAGAUCAAAUGUGUAGAAAACAAUUUAUAACUUAUAGUUUGCCUUUACUAAGCAAUCAGAAUAUUUUGCAGUGUUAUACCAUACCGUUUUUGUUUCAAAACCAAUUUUAAGUAGUUGAAAAUUUUGAUUAAAAUAAUAAGU